rnacentral:miRNA from 1 species
CAGCCGGGCACAGAGCCACACGAGUGCCCAUCACCCACCCAGCACUUGGGAGGCUGAGGCAGGAGGAU